GAUGAACGCUGGCGGCGUGCCUAAUACAUGCAAGUCGAGCGAACAGAUGAGGAGCUUGCUCCUCUGACGUUAGCGGCGGACGGGUGAGUAACACGUGGAUAACCUACCUAUAAGACUGGGAUAACUUCGGGAAACCGGAGCUAAUACCGGAUAAUAUAUUGAACCGCAUGGUUCAAUAGUGAAAGACGGUUUUGCUGUCACUUAUAGAUGGAUCCGCGCCGCAUUAGCUAGUUGGUAAGGUAACGGCUUACCAAGGCAACGAUGCGUAGCCGACUUGAGAGGGUGAUCGGCCACACUGGAACUGAGACACGGUCCAGACUCCUACGGGAGGCAGCAGUAGGGAAUCUUCCGCAAUGGGCGAAAGCCUGACGGAGCAACGCCGCGUGAGUGAUGAAGGUCUUCGGAUCGUAAAACUCUGUUAUUAGGGAAGAACAAAUGUGAAAGUAACUAUGCACGUCUUGACGGUACCUAACCAGAAAGCCACGGCUAACUACGUG
rnacentral:rRNA from 1 species